GAAGCAUUUUCUGGAGAAGCUUCAUUUGUAGGAUGAAAGGCUUGCGAGGGAAAACAGAAGAGAAGGGAGAUCGUGACGAAGACCAGCGGUGGCUCCUAGAAGACCAAGGAGAUAAGGAGAAGCUAGAAUUGGUGAGGCAAGGGGUUCGGUUGAGGUGCAAAAAAUCCUGCUAUCACCAAGUCUGUUUUUGGUUGGUUACACACGAUUAAGGAAAUGGGUAGGAGAAGUCGACCUUUUGAAUCUCUGAAGAUACUGAACAACCUGCAGAAAAGAAGAAAAUAUUUAUUGAUUGGAUGAACUUCAUAAAGCCUGGCAUUGAGGAGAAAGAUCACUGGGUGAAAGAAAUUUUUUUUUAUUUUUUUAAAGUCCUUAACGAAACUGUUUCAAAGUGAACUGAAUCUGGAACUAAUUUUGGGCUUUUGUGAGCAAGGACCAUUGCAGGAAUUGUAGGGCUAUUUUCCGUGGAAAGUGUAUCCACAGUUGGAUCGCUCAACAGCUGAUAAAAAUGCUCAAGCAGUUAGGGCUUGCGACAGAUGCACGGUAUGCUUAUCAAUCAUCAUAGCAAAAUAGUUUCUGUGGUGCUUUGUUCUGUUUAUGAUUUUUAUACCUUAUCAUGGCAGUUAGGCAUUAGUAAAUGGUAAUAGUCCAGGAUGGAAAGGGCAAUUAGGCAUUAGCAAGAAAACUACCAUAAAUUUUACUUAAUAAGAUGUUGUGUUUUCACAGGAAUUCUUUAUUUGUAUAGGUUUAGGGUCUCAAGGUCUUACAUUUAUAUAGGUUAGAGACAAUACUUUGAUAAGAUUCGAGUCGACAAAAAUAUAAAAAUGUUAUUUAAUCCUUCUAAAAUUUAUUUCUUUGGGAUGCUAACCCAUGUAGGGAAUUGUGAUUUUGAGUACUGCACGUGAUUGUGAACAUGUAUAAGUUAAAUCUGUUGUAACUUGCCUCCCAUCAAGUUUUUCCAAGCUUAGAAUUCCUCUUGGUUGAUUUUCAUUCAUUCAAGUCUUUUUUGUGCCUUUAUUACAAUUUGUGAUCUGCAGGCUAAAUAAUUGAUGUGGCAGGAGUGAUGCCUUACACCUGUUACAAGAAACAAGGUAUGCAUCGUACUUGGCCGUUUUGUCAUUUUGAACAAGUGGACUUAUUCAAAAUUUUUCAUAACCUGAUCUAACCAAACUUUCUUUUGGAGCAGUGGCCCGCAAUGUCGGAAAAAGUAUAUACAUUUAUGUUCCAACUUCUUAUUUGAAAUAUAUACAUUAUAGGUUUCAAAAAUGUUAAUUUUUUUAUCUAACUAGACUCGGAUAAUAUCAUGAAUAUCAAUAAGCUAAUGCACCUUAAAAAUUUAACCAUUAUUUAAAACAUUAAAGCUUACAAUUUAAAUUCAUAGUAGAUUGCGGUUAUAUGAUGAAUAAUUGUAUGUAUUUUUUUUAAUAAAUCCAGCGUCACGGUGCAGGCUCAAUCUAAUAAAAAAAAUUGAAAAAGCUUACUAGUUUAAUAUUUUACUGGAAUUUGCCCGCUUAGCUGCUGGAAAGAUCAUGAAUCUUUUUUUAUUUUUUGUAGAAAUAAUGAUAUAAUUUUAUUUAAAUAUUUCAAUAAAGAUCAUG